rnacentral:rRNA from 1 species
AGAGUUUGAUCCUGGCUCAGGACGAACGCUGGCGGCGUGCCUAACACAUGCAAGUCGAGCGGAGACAGUGAGUAGCUUGCUAUGAACUGUUUUAGCGGCGGACGGGUGAGUAACGCGUGAGCAACCUUUCCCAGACAGGGGAAUAACACACCGAAAGGUGUACUAAUACCGCAUAAGACCACGGGAUCACAUGGUUCUGGGGUAAAAGAAUUAUCGGUUUGGGGUGGGCUCGCGUCCGAUUAGGUAGUUGGUGAGGUAACGGCCCACCAAGCCGACGAUCGGUAGCCGACCUGAGAGGGUGAUCGGCCACAUUGGGACUGAGACACGGCCCAAACUCCUACGGGAGGCAGCAGUGGGGAAUAUUGCACAAUGGGGGAAACCCUGAUGCAGCGACGCCGCGUGAGUGAAGAAGUAUUUCGGUAUGUAAAGCUCUAUCAGCAGGGAAGAAAAUGACGGUACCUGACUAAGAAGCCCCGGCUAACUACGUGCCAGCAGCCGCGGUAAUACGUAGGGGGCAAGCGUUGUCCGGAAUAAUUGGGCGUAAAGGGCGCGUAGGCGGCUCGGUAAGUCUGGAGUGAAAGUCCUGCUUUUAAGGUGGGAAUUGCUUUGGAUACUGUCGGGCUUGAGUGCAGGAGAGGUUAGUGGAAUUCCCAGUGUAGCGGUGAAAUGCGUAGAGAUUGGGAGGAACACCAGUGGCGAAGGCGACUAACUGGACUGUAACUGACGCUGAGGCGCGAAAGUGUGGGGAGCAAACAGGAUUAGAUACCCUGGUAGUCCACACUGUAAACGAUGAAUGCUAGGUGUAGGGGGUAUCGACCCCUUCUGUGCCGCAGUCAACACAAUAAGCAUUCCGCCUGGGGAGUACGGCCGCAAGGUUGAAACUCAAAGGAAUUGACGGGGGCCCGCACAAGCAGCGGAGCAUGUGGUUUAAUUCGACGCAACGCGAAGAACCUUACCAGGUCUUGACAUCCACUUAAACUUACAGAGAUGUAAGGUGUGCUUGCACAAAGUGAGACAGGUGGUGCAUGGUUGUCGUCAGCUCGUGUCGUGAGAUGUUGGGUUAAG